AAUUUCUCUAUCCAGAAUAAGGUGAGUGUUUAAUGCUCAUUGCUUCAUGUAUAAGCUACAGCUUGUUCAAAUUUUCUGUAUUGGAUAUAUAAUUGUUUUCGUUCACUUUCUGCAGUUGAAUUUGGAGAAGGGAAUGAUGAACUGCCCAUAUGCAAAGUGCAAUCCUGGUAUCACAUAUUAUGUAAUGGCAGAGCUUGAGAAGUUGGGUCAGAAAUAUCGUGUGGCUCUGAGGUUGUCCGUAACAAAAGAAGAGUUGCAGCUGUGAGAUGAAGUCUUGAUGUUUAUAUAUUGAUGGGUGCAUCUGUAAAUUUAUAGUUAGUACAUUUAUUGUAUUAUACAAUUUAAAAUACAAUAUAAAGUACAGUACAAGAAUGUAAAGGUGCCAAAUGGCACCUUAUUUUUUUAAUACAACCUCAUAAAUUUGCCACUGAUAUUAGUGGCAUUCCAAAGCCACUAAUGUCAGUGU